rnacentral:rRNA from 1 species
AACGUAGGAGACAAACGUUAUCCGGAGUUACUGGGCGUAAAGGGCUCGUAGGCGGCCAACUAAGUCGGACGUGAAAUCCCUCAGCUUAACUGGGGAACUGCGUCCGAUACUGGAUGGCUUGGAUUUGGGAGAGGGAUGCGGAAUUCCAGGUGUAGCGGUGAAAUGCGUAGAUAUCUGGAGGAACACCGGUGGCGAAGGCGGCAUCCUGGACCAAUAGUGACGCUGAGGAGCGAAAGCCAGGGGAGCAAACGGG